rnacentral:rRNA from 1 species
CUCUGUGACUCCUACGGGAGCAGCAGUGGGGAAUAUUGCACAAUGGGCGCAAGCCUGAUGCAGCCAUGCCGCGUGUAUGAAGAAGGCCUUCGGGUUGUAAAGUACUUUCAGCAGUGAGGAAGGCGGGUACGUUAAUAGCGUAUUCGUUUGACGUUAGCUGCAGAAGAAGCACCGGCUAACUCCGUGCCAGCAGCCGCGGUAAUACGGAGGGUGCGAGCGUUAAUCGGAAUUACUGGGCGUAAAGCGCAUGCAGGUGGUUUGUUAAGUCAGAUGUGAAAGCCCCGGGGCUCAACCUCGGAAUUGCAUUUGAAACUGGCAGACUAGAGUACUGUAGAGGGGGUAGGAAUUUCAGGUGUAGCGGUGAAAUGCGUAGAGAUCUGAAGGAAUACCGGUGGCGAAGGCGGCCCCCUGGACAGAUACUGACACUCAGAUGCGAAAGCGUGGGGAGCAAACAGGAUUAGAUACCCUGGUAG